rnacentral:antisense_RNA from 1 species
GGUCUGCAGGGCGGCGUCGUAGUCGAGGUG